UACGUAGGGUGCGAGCGUUAAUCGGAAUUACUGGGCGUAAAGCGUGCGCAGGCGGCGCGUUAAGACAGGUGUGAAAGCCCCCGAGCUUAACUUGGGAAUUGCGCUUGUGACUGGCGUGCUGGAGUGUGGCAGAGGGAGGUGGAAUUCCACGUGUAGCAGUGAAAUGCGUAGAGAUGUGGAGGAACACCCGUGGCGAAGGCGGCCAACUGGGCCGACCCUGACGCUGAGGCGCGGACAGCGUGGGGAGCAAACAGG
rnacentral:rRNA from 1 species